rnacentral:rRNA from 1 species
GUGCCAGCACGGUAAGACAGAGGCCUCGAGCGUUAGGCGGAAUCACUGGGCUUAAAAGCGUGUGUAGGCGGAUGCCUAAGUACCUUGUGAAAUCCCACGGCUCACCCGUGGAACCGCUGGGUAUACUGGGCAUCUUGGGCCAUUCAGGGGCAACUGGAACAAGCGGUGGAGCGGUGAAAUGCGUAGAUAUCGCUUGGAACGCCGACGGUGAAAACAGGUUGCUGGGAAUGUGCCGACGCUGAGACACGAAAGCCAGGGGAGCAAACGGGG